CUUGGGAGGGGGAUCCCUCAGCCCGAAUUGCGAGAGGGUGCAGGCCAUGCCAAGGGAUCCCACCAGUGCAGG
rnacentral:pre_miRNA from 1 species